rfam:Yarrowia lipolytica complete mitochondrial genome, strain W29
GACCUUAUCGUCAAACGUAAGACGUUAGAACUUCACUCUAAAAAUACGGGUUCAAGUCCCGUUAAGGUUA